rnacentral:rRNA from 1 species
AGGACGAACGCUGGCGGCGUGCUUAACACAUGCAAGUCGAGCGGAAAGGCCCUUCGGGGUACUCGAGCGGCGAACGGGUGAGUAACACGUGAGCAAUCUGCCUUUAGCUCUGGGAUAGCUCCGGGAAAACCGGGAUUAAUACCGGAUAAGACCACUUUAGACAUCUGUUGUGGUGGAAAGAAUUUCGGCUAGAGAUGAGCUCGCGGCCUAUCAGCUUGUUGGUGGGGUAACGGCCCACCAAGGCGACGACGGGUAGCCGGCCUGAGAGGGCGACCGGCCACACUGGGACUGAGACACGGCCCAGACUCCUACGGGAGGCAGCAGUGGGGAAUAUUGCGCAAUGGGCGAAAGCCUGACGCAGCGACGCCGCGUGGGGGAUGAAGGCCUUCGGUUGUAACCCUUUCAGCAGGACGAAGCGAAGUGACGGUACCUGCAGAAGAAGCGCCGGCUAACUACGUGCCAGCAGCCGC